rnacentral:rRNA from 1 species
CGGCGGACGGGUGAGUAACGCGUGGGUAACCUACCCCAAAGUCCGGGAUAACAGCGGGAAACCGCUGCUAAUACCGGAUGCCUUUACCUUGGGGCAUCUUGAGGUAAAGAAAGGUAACGCUUUGGGAUGGGCCCGCGUCCCAUUAGCUAGUUGGUGAGGUAGCGGCUCACCAAGGCGACGAUGGGUAGCCGGCCUGAGAGGGUGGACGGCCACACUGGGACUGAGACACGGCCCAGACUCCUACGGGAGGCAGCAGUAGGGAAUAUUGCGCAAUGGACGGAAGUCUGACGCAGCGACGCCGCGUGAGCGAUGAAGGUCUUCGGAUCGUAAAGCUCUGUCCUUGGGGAAGAAGGCGAAAGCUUGACGGUACCCAAGAAGAAAGCCCCGGCUAACUACGUGCCAGCAGCCGCGGAAAUACGUAGGGGGCGAGCGUUGUCCGGAAUUACUGGGCGUA